GGGCUCGUAGCGCAGCCCGGGAGCGCGCACGGCUGAAGCCCGUGGUGUCGAGGGUUCAAAUCCCUCCGAGCCCA
rnacentral:tRNA from 1 species